AGAGAGAGAGAGAUGAUCUUUUGAUUUUGGGGUUUAAAGUAUUGUCUUGGAAUUCGAAAGAAGGGAAUGUUUGAUUUGUAGAGAGAUGGGACAAUAAGAGGUUGGUUUGGUUAAAUGGGCAUAUAUCUUCUGCGCUGUUGGGCAUUUUCUCUGGUUUUCGGGUGGAGACGUGCUUCAAAAUAUGCUUUCUUCAGUUUUAGAAGGGAUCAAAUUUGGAGGAAAGAUGAAUGGGGAGGGAGUAAUUGAGCAAAUGAAGCUUCUUGGAGAUGGAGAAAAUCAAUCAGGUUAGAGAUUGGACAUCAUGUAUCCUAAUUUUCUGUCAAAUUUGUGUUUAAAUGUGUAAUACACUUGGUUUUCCAUAGUUUUAGUUUCAUUUACUUGGAUUUAAGCUUAGCAGUUUUUCUACCAUUUUAACUAUGCUUCUUGUCUUCCCAAGUUAUGUAUGUGAUGGAGCAUACAUGUAUACAUACACAUGCACACACAUCAAACAGUAGAGCUAGCUUCCACUUGAUGAAGGCAUCAUUAGAAUUAGCAUGUACGUGGGUUGUUUUUUCAUUGCCACUUCUCUCCCAAGACAUCUAUUUGUAUGUAGUUUUACAUAUAUGCAUGCAUGCAUACGUACAUACACACAUACAUAUAUACUGGUCUUCAGGGACUCGGACCCGGUCGAGUUACAGGGUGGCUUAGGAGAGUUACAGUGGCAAACUUGCCCCUGUCAAAAUUAUUAAAAG
rnacentral:lncRNA from 1 species